rnacentral:rRNA from 1 species
CUACCGGCGGCACCAGUAAGGAAUAUUGCGCAAUGGAGGCAACUCUGACGCAGCCAUGCCGCGUGCAGGAAGAAGGCCUUAUGGGUCGUAAACUGCUUUUAUUUAGGAAUAAACCCCCGAACGUGUUCGGGGCUGAAGGUACUAAACGAAUAAGCACCGGCUAACUCCGUGCCAGCAGCCGCGGUAAUACGGAGGGUGCAGCGUUAUCCGGAUUUAUUGGGUUUAAAGGGUGCGCAGGCGGGCUAUUAAGUCAGUGGUGAAAUCCCGGGGCUCAACUCCGGAACUGCCAUUGAUACUGAUAGUCUUGAGUUUGGUUGAAGUGGGCGGAAUGUAGCAUGUAGCGGUGAAAUGCAUAGAUAUGCUACAGAACACCAAUCGCGAAGGCAGCUCACUAAGCCAAAACUGACGCUCAUGCACGAAAGCGUGGGGAUCAAACAGGAUUAGAUACCCCGGUAGUC